UCCUCCGUGGCGCAAUUGGCUAGCGCGUCUGACUGUUACUGUGUGUUCCACACAACCGCAAAUCAGGAGGUUGGUGGUUCGAGCCCACCCGGGGGAG